rnacentral:rRNA from 1 species
GGGGGGGGGGGGCGGGGGGGGGGGGGGGUGGGGGGCGGGGGGGGGAGCCGGGGUGGCUGGGUGGGUUGGUGGCGAACGGGUUAGUGACCCGUGCGUAGCCUGCCCUUGACUCUGGGGUCAUCCCGGGAAACUUGGUCUAAUACCGGAUAGGAUCUCCUGUCUCCUGCCCUGUUUUUUACAGCUUUUUCGGUCAUGGAUGGACUCGCGGCCUAUCAGCUUGUUGGUGCGGUAAUGGCUCACCAAGGCGACGACGGGUAGCCGGCCUGAGCGGGGGACCGGCCACACUGGGACUGAGACAAGGCACAGACUACUACGGGAGGAAGCAGUGGGGAAGAGUGCACAAUGGGCGGAAGCAUGAUGCAGCGACGCCGCGUGAGGGAUGACGGCCUGCGGGGUGUAAACCUCUUUCAGGAGGGAAGAAGCGAAAGUGACGGUACCUGCAGAAGAAGAACCGGCUAACUACGUG